rnacentral:rRNA from 1 species
AGGGCAAGUCUGGUGCCAGCAGCCGCGGUAAUUCCAGCUCCAAUAGCGUAUAUUAAAGUUGUUGCAGUUAAAAAGCUCGUAGUUGAAUUUCGGGAUCAAUUUAUCGGUCGUGCCUCUGGUAUGCACUGGUAUUAUUGAUUUCUACCUUCUGACGAACCAUGAUGUCAUUAAUUUGGUGUCAUGGGGAAUCAGGACUGUUACUUUGAAAAAAUUAGAGUGUUUAAAGCAAGCACACGCUUGAAUACAUUAGCAUGGAAUAAUGAAAUAGGACGUUUGACCCUAUUUUGUUGGUUUCUAGGAUCGACGUAAUGAUUAAUAGGGAUAGUUGGGGGCAUUAGUAUUCAAUUGUCAGAGGUGAAAUUCUUGGAUUUAUUGAAGACUAACUACUGCGAAAGCAUUUGCCAAGGAUGUUUUCAUUAAUCAAGAACGAAAGUUAGGGGAUCGAAGACGAUCAGAUACCGUCGUAGUCUUAACCAUAAACUAUGCCGACUAGGGAUCGGAUGAUGUUAAUUUUUUAAUGACUCAUUCGGCGCCUUUACGGGAAAC